UUAUGGCUCAGGAUGAACGCUAGCUACAGGCCUAACACAUGCAAGUCGAGGGGUAGCGUGAGGGAAGCUUGCUUCCCUUGACGACGACCGGCGAAUGGGUGAGUCACGCGUGUCCAACCUGCCCCGUGCCCGGGGAUAGCCCUUGGAAAUGAGGAUUAAGACCCGAUAUGUGGCGCUUCCGCAUGGCGGCGCCAUGAAGCAGGCACGGGAUGGGGACGCGUCGGAUUAGCUUGACGGCGGGGCAACGGCCCACCGUGGCGACGAUCCGCAGGGGUUCUGAGAGGAAGGUCCCCCACACUGGCACUGAGACACGGGCCAGACUCCUACGGGAGGCAGCAGUGAGGAAUAUUGGUCAAUGGGCGGGAGCCUGAACCAGCCAAAGUAGCGUGCAGGACGACGGCCCUACGGGUUGUAAACUGCUUUUCCGGGAGGAUAAAGUGAGCCACGCGUGGUUCAUUGCAGGUAUCCCGGGAAUAAGGACCGGCUAAUUCCGUGCCAGCAGCCGC
rnacentral:rRNA from 1 species